CAGCAGCCGCGGGAAUACAGAGGGUGCGAGCGUUAAUCGGAUUUACUGGGCGUAAAGCGUGCGUAGGCGGCUAAUUGAGUCGGAUGUGAAAUCCCCGAGCUUAACUUGGGAAUUGCAUUCGAUACUGGUUAGCUAGAGUGUGGGAGAGGAUGGUAGAAUUCCAGGUGUAGCGGUGAAAUGCGUAGAGAUCUGGAGGAAUACCGAUGGCGAAGGCAGCCAUCUGGCCUAACACUGACGCUGAGGUACGAAAGCAUGGGGAGCAAACAGGAUUAGAGACCCCAGUAGUCCCUGUCUCUUAUAA
rnacentral:rRNA from 1 species